rnacentral:tRNA from 1 species
GGGGCGUUAGCUCAAUUGGCAGAGCGAUGCCUUUGCAAGGCAUAGGUUAGCGGUUCGACUCCGCUACGCUCCA